rnacentral:rRNA from 1 species
AACCCCAAAACACCCCUUUUUUAAAAAAAAAAAAAUUACAAGGUUUCCGUAGGUGAACCUGCGGAAGGAUCAUUA